CAUGUGUCACUGCUCAUCCCCACGUUCCCUUCUGAUUGUCCAGGGACUUCACACUCAACACCAGCAAAGAGGAAACAGUGACACUGAGACUGUCCUACCAGCUCCUACAAUCGUGAGGCAGGUCGAUGCCAGCUAACCACAUGGGCAUAACAGAAGCCUCAGAGCCUUCGGGAGUCUUCUCUGGUCCCAGUAUGGGCCGCCAAAUGUUUACCUCAAACAAAUAGACUGCCAGAUAUUUCACCUGCAAAAAUGAAUUUGUUCAGGACCAGCAGAGAAUUGAAAUUCUGGAUCUGCAGCCAUGAAAGAAAGAAAAAAAUUGACCCGCACUUGCUGACUUUGUGGAUGGAGGAAGGUGGUCACCAGCCAAGGAAUGAAGGAAUGUGGACGGCUUCCAGAAUCUCA